GAUGAACGCUAGCUACAGGCUUAACACAUGCAAGUCGAGGGACCGGCGCACGGGUGAGUAACACGUAUACAACCUGCCCUUUACUAGGGGAUAGCCUUUCGAAAGAAAGAUUAAUACCCGAUAUAAAGGAUGGGGAUGCGUUCGACUAGGUUGUUGGUGAGGUAACGGCCCACCAAGCCUUCGAUGGAUAGGGGUUCUGAGAGGAAGGUCCCCAACAUUGGAACUGAGACACGGUCCAAACUCCUACGGGAGGCAGCAGUGAGGAAUAUUGGGCAAUGGGCGCUAGCCUGAACCAGCCAAGUAGCGUGAAGGAUGAAUGCUUAUGGGUCGUAAACUUCUUUUAUAUAAGAAUAUGUAUUAUAUGAAUAAGGAUCGGCUAACUCCGUGCCAGCAGCCGCGGUAAUUC
rnacentral:rRNA from 1 species